ACUUGAAUAGCUUAUAAUGUAGAGCAUGACACUGAAGAUGUUAAGGAAGUUGAAGGACUUUUAAGUA
rnacentral:tRNA from 1 species